rnacentral:rRNA from 1 species
UACGUAGGGACCAAGCGUUGUUCGGAUUUACUGGGCGUAAAGGGCGCGUAGGCGGCGCGGUAAGUCACUUGUGAAAUCUCUGAGCUUAACUCAGAACGGCCAAGUGAUACUGCAGUGCUAGAGUGUGGAGGGGCAAUCGGAAUUCUUGGUGUAGCGGUGAAAUGCGUAGAUAUCAGGAGGAACACCGGUGGCGAAGGCGGCUUGCUGGGCCAGUUCUGACGCUGAGGAGCGAAAGCGUGGGGAGCGAACAGG